UACGUAGGGUGCGAGCGUUGCCCGGAUUUAUUGGGCGUAAAGGGCGCGUAGGCGGCUCUGCACGUCCGUUGUGAAAUCGCCCGGCUCAACUGGGCGGGGUCAGCGGAUACGGCGGAGCUUGAGCAAGCUAGGGGGCAAUGGAAUUCCCGGUGUAGUGGUGGAAUGCGUAGAUAUCGGGAGGAACACCAGUGGCGAAGGCGAGUCCCUGGACAACACCUGACACUGAGGCACGAAAGCCAGGGGAGCAAACGGG
rnacentral:rRNA from 1 species